AUUUACGACAACAAUUUUAAAAUGGCAAAUUCACAUAAUUUCAAUUUAAGUUUACUCAUUGGUGUCAAAUCAAUACAAACUGAUCUCUAAACAAAACAUUAGGCUAAGGCUUCCUUAUUCGCGUACAAAACAAUGCAAAAAUUUCACAAUGUUUUAUUAUCAGAUAAAUUACUCCAUCAUAUACAAAGUGUAACAAGUGCAUAUCAAUACAUUUACAAAUCAAUAAACAUAUGGCAACCAAUGUACCGUUAUAUAACGUUCAUGGAUCGACCCCCGCCCACCCGAUCUCCCGUGGACAGCAGUGGGCGUGGAUUCCACGCUAUACCGUGGACCAGUCGGUGGGCGUGGACCACAGAUGUCCACCCAAUGCACACGACAUACCGUGGACAAGUGGACACGUGGGCGAGCGUGGACCGAAAUGUCCACCCAAUGCACACGCCCACCGUGGGCGCGUGGAAAUGACAAAGUCCACGUGGGCUGUAGUGUAUAUCAUCGA
rnacentral:lncRNA from 1 species